ensembl:piRNA 21ur-9529 ncRNA
UAAAUCCUCUAAUCCUAUUAA